UACUCUGGGCAGUGGAUGACUUGUCUUGUGUUCCUACUAAGAACACGGAUAUCUUUAGGAGUUAUCAAGAAUGGCAGAACACAUUGAUCAUUUACAAUUUGAACACAUUUAUGGCCCAGGUUCAUCUUGGGAGUAUGUCUGUUUGAGUGUUG
rnacentral:rRNA from 1 species